UCCAGCCUCCCACACUGCGACAGUUUGAAGCCGGGGAUCUCUGGCUCAGGAUUUUUGUUUGAGGAAAGAAAAACAACCAUGAGUAAUAAAAAGAGUAAAUAGGAUUUAGAAAGAGCAACAAGUCGCCAAGUGCCCAGAGGCGACCUGUACAGUUUUAUAUGAAUAACAUGCUUACGCCUAAUGUAAUGUAACGUUACCUACUUAAACUCUGACUCGUAUUAUAUAUAAGCUAGACAGUUAACGUUACCAAGACUCGAGAUCCUCUUGAGCAAGGAGCGGCUGAAAAAUUAUCAUAACAUAAAUAAUCUAGGUGGGCGCGCCACCCGCAGUGACUCUGCUUCGUCUCUGCGAAAUUUCGGUCGUACUGGGAGCUGGGAGGUCACUAAUGUUUUUCUACGUAUCUUAAAACUUAUAGAAACUUUCUAGUUAUGUUAAGGACACGCCACGAGAUAUUACAACUCUAAUUUCAAUGACAAAACCAACGAUUGGGAAAGUUGUAAGCCCGAGAUACCGACAGCAGGAGUAACAGCAGCAGAAAAUAACAUCAGGGACAGACGGAGGCGAUCGUAGAAGCUCCCAGAGAAAUAAAUGAAUAAGAAUCCAGCACAUCCUGAGGACAACAGUUGAAUAUAUAUCUGUAUGUAUGUAGAAGAAGGAGAGUAGAACGGACGAUCGCGAUUCGAAAGCCGAUGUGGCUGGUACACACAAGUUGAACCGAUAAAUCAGACGCGCGCGUGCGACACACCGAAGGUUACUUCUUUCCACCCAUAUAAUAGGAACUUGUGCAUCGAGUACGAGAUAUAGGAGCUCCUAAGAUUGGUGGUGAGUCAACGUCCACGGGCUUCGCGAUCAAACUGACAAAGAAAUAGAAAUAAUAAAUAUUAAUGCGUCGAAUGACAAAGAGUAAACGCCGCCUCAAAAGAUAUAUGUCCGUAUACGUGCUCUUUCUGCGUCUCUCCUUCUCUCUCCAUCAGAACUUGUUCCUUUUAUUUAAUCGCUUUUAUGGAAAUGUCCGUAUCGUAUCGGUCUAGUGCGUGGUUGGAUACUCACAUAUCCACAACAUACAUUUUAUUUAUUAAAAUUAAGCUACACUAGUAAUAUAUAAUACACUUUACUGAUUACUCCGAUCACCAGGACAGUCUAACCGGUUUAUUAAACGGAUUUGUCGUAAAUAAAACUUAACUUUUUUUUUUUUUAUGGAUUAUUUUUAAAAUAUCACAUAUGCUUAUUAUUUAA